rnacentral:rRNA from 1 species
UACGUAGGGUGCAAGCGUUAAUCGGAAUUACUGGGCGUAAAGCGUGCGCAGGCGGUUGUGCAAGACAGAUGUGAAAUCCCCGGGCUCAACCUGGGAACUGCAUCUGUGACUGCAUAGCUAGAGUACGGUAGAGGGGGAUGGAAUUCCGCGUGUAGCAGUGAAAUGCGUAGAUAUGCGGAGGAACACCGAUGGCGAAGGCAAUCCCCUGGACCUGUACUGACGCUCAUGCACGAAAGCGUGGGGAGCAAACAGG